rnacentral:rRNA from 1 species
GACGAACGCUGGCGGCGUGCUUAACACAUGCAAGUCGAACGGAAAGGCCCUUUCGGGGGUACUCGAGUGGCGAACGGGGGAGUAACACGUGGGUGACCUGCCCUGCACUUUGGGAUAAGCCUGGGAAACUGGGUCUAAUACCGGAUAGGACUACGGCCUGCCGGGGUUGGGGUGGAAAGCUUUUGCGGGGUGGGAUGGGCCCGCGGCCUAUCAGCUUGUUGGUGGGGUGAUGGCCUACCAGGGCGACGACGGGUAGCCGGCCUGAGAGGGUGUCCGGCCACACUGGGACUGAGAUACGGCCCAGACUCCUACGGGAGGCAGCAGUGGGGAAUAUUGCACAAUGGGCGCAAGCCUGAUGCAGCGACGCCGCGUGAGGGAUGACGGCCUUCGGGUUGUAAACCUCUUUCAAUAGGGACGAAGCGCAAGUGACGGUACCUAUAGAAGAAGCACCGGCCAACUACGUGCCAGCCGCCGCAGUAAUAC